GCGGGAGUAAUUCAGCGGUAGAAUGUCAGCUUCCCAAGCUGGACGUCGCGGGUUCGAUCCCCGUCUCCCGCU
rnacentral:tRNA from 2 species